GACAGAGGGUGCAAACGUUGUUCGGAAUUACUGGGCGUAAAGGGCGUGCAGGCGGUCUGUUAAGUCUAGGGUGAAAGCUCCUGGCUCAACUGGGAGAGGUCCUUGGAUACUGGCGGACUUGAGGGAGGCAGAGGAAAGUGGAAUUCCCGGUGUAGUGGUGAUAUGCGUAGAUAUCGGGAGGAACACCAGUGGCGAAGGCGGCUUUCUGGGCCUUACCUGACGCUGAGACGCGAAAGCGUGGGGAGCGAACCGG
rnacentral:rRNA from 1 species